AACAUUAUAGGUACCUGUCAUUAUAACGGUUAUAAUAUAUCAGUGCUUGACUGUCUAAAUCUAAUGAUAUCUUGUUCAUAUUAAAGUUUACAAAGUUAGAAUUUGGUCGAGAAAUACUAACACUAUAAUGUAAUAAUUAUACUCGUAAAGUACUUCAUUAAUCUUUAAAUACGAUGAAGGCCUCCGAUAGGUAUAUUAUAUACACAGACUAGUAUAUAUCUAGUAGGAAAGUAUUACUAAUUAUAUUAUUACGAAUAAGUUAUAGUGUCAUUUUAACUCUCGAUAUAUAAUGACAUUAUGUAAAAGAGAUGUAGAAAUAGUGAAAUAAGUACCUAUGUAUUUUGUAAAAUUCAUAAGAUAUCGACUGUUCAAUAGCUCUAUUAAUUAUAUUUUGUAAAAAUAUAUUUAACUGUCCUAAAUAUUAUGUAGUAGGUACGUUGUACCUAACUA